rnacentral:ncRNA from 1 species
AAAAAUGCUGUGAAAAAGAGGAGUAAAUAAUUAACUCUAAAGAGAGAAAAACCCCUAGGCUGGAAGGUUUUUUAGAGCCAUAAUUAUUGAAGGUAGCUUUGGAGCUUCUGUACUGAAGUGAUAGUAGGUGCAGACGGUUUGAAACCGUUAUAUAAAGUAAGCGUCUAUUUUAGCAUAUCAUGCUAAAAUAGAAAUUAAGGUGGUACCGCGAAAAAGAAACUUCGUCCUUAUU